UGGGGAAUUUUGCACAAUGGGGGAAACCCUGAUGCAGCGACGCCGCGUGAUUUAGAAGGCCUUCGGGUUGUAAAAAUCUUUUCUAUGGGAAGAAAAUGACAGUACCAUAGGAAUAAGGACCGGCUAAUUACGUGCCAGCAGCCGCGGUAAUACGUAAGGUCCGAGCGUUGUCCGGAAUCAUUGGGCGUAAAGGGUACGUAGGCGGGUAAGCAAGUUAGAAGUGAAAUCCUGUAGCUCAACUACAGUAAGCUUUUAAAACUGCUCAUCUUGAGAUAUGGAAGGGAAAGUGGAAUUCCUAGUGUAGCGGUGAAAUGCGCAGAUAUUAGGAGGAACACCAGUGGCGAAGGCGACUCUCUGGUCUGUAACUGACGCUGAGGCUCGAAAGCGUGGGUAGCAAACAGG
rnacentral:rRNA from 1 species